rnacentral:rRNA from 1 species
UGGGGAAUAUUGGACAAUGGGCGAAAGCCUGAUCCAGCAAUGCCGCGUGUGUGAAGAAGGCCUUAGGGUUGUAAAGCACUUUCAGUAGGGACGAAAAGCCGCAGGCUAAUACCCGGCGGUCUUGACUUAACCUACAGAAGAAGCACCGGCUAACUCCGUGCCAGCAGCCGCGGUAAUACGGAGGGUGCAAGCGUUAAUCGGAAUUACUGGGCGUAAAGCGCGCGUAGGUGGUUUGGCAAGUCGGGUGUGA